GGCCUCUACACACAGGUAACAUAAGAUAUACAACACUAUGUUUGGUAUUUGAAAUGUUCUUACUCUGGCGCCAUCAUGUGGACUCCUACAGAAAAAGUGUUCCAACCCUACUGCUACACUGAAGUGGGGAUGCGUCCCACACCUCUAAUACCCGUGUAUCUGUGGAACAUAAGGCUUUCAGCUGCUAGCAAGAAGGAUAUGCUAAUCAUGCUUCGGCUUUUCGUAUUAAAGGCCAGGUGUAACAAAUUCUUCUUGGAGAUUCGUGCCAAUGGCGAGUUCACUCCAGAGCGGAGGACAAUCUAUGAGGCUGUCCUCACAUCCUCCAGCUGUCCUGACUGCCAUCAAACCAGGUGUUAAGCACCGCCUGGCUGACCGGGUUCACCUGGAGGAGCUGGUGAAUAUCGGCAUCCUGAAUGACAGCGUAUGUCAGAGGAUACUCUGUGGUGAGAGAAAGAAGAAAACACAGUCCUGUUCGUCCAAUAUUGAUGUCUCAUCAAUAAUAGAGAGACCCUCAUUGCAGAAGUGAGAGCAGAACAAAAAGAGGUCAAGCUGCAGGAGCAAGUUCACAGUGAGGGCAGGAGAGAGGGGAGGCUGUUGUUGUCUGAACUUUGAACACAGACAGUUUCAGGUUGUGGUGGAGGAUUUUAUACUGUUAUGCUCUUCUGACAACUAAAUACAGAAGACACCGAAGAUCGUUUUAUUGCCUGGUUUCACUAAUAGUUCGACCUACAGGUGAUGGCACAGUGAAAUCAUCAAUUUAAACACUCAUCAUCUUUUCAGUCACAUUUCAGUAAUCAUUAAACAGAAUUAUGUAUUGUUAUGCAUAUUGUUGACUAAUAACAUCUGAAUUUUUAGUGUGGUUAUAUCAGUGUUUCAGUGUUUUACUGUCUUCACACACAAAAACACACUGAUUCACUGUUUGACUCAGACUAGUAAAUUAUUUAAUGUAAGCAAUGUAGAAAGAUAAACUAUACUGGUAUUCAUUUUACUAUUUGAAGAAUGUUAAUCAAAAAAUCAAAUUAAAUGUAAUGGUGUUUAGAGAGCAACCUCCAUUUAGUCCUGACUGCAUCCUACAGUGGACGAGAUGAGUUUCCUGAAAUUUCAUAAAAGCAACUUAAUUGUGGAGAUCUGUGGUCAAGUUGUAAACGAAUGCCAAGUUUAAGCCUGUGAUACAAACCAAAUUAUUUAUAAGUGAAAGCGAAGGUGAACAAUGCAACAUUAACACAGUCACAAAAUGGUCACUGCAACUGUACAUUUACAUUGCACUGAGAACCUCAAGUUGAACCUUACACAGUAUCUCCUCAAGGUUGAACAGAUAUUUACAAAGGACAGUCUGGGUGAUCAUUUUCAUGUUGACGUUUUUAUGUGAAGAUAGUGGUAGAAAACUACUCAUGAUUCUUGCCUUAUUGACAAUACUAUGAAAAUAAGACCUAGAUUGUAAAUAAUAAAAGCAGAAUAUUCCUUAAAGGAUUUUGGUGCAAUUAACAUUCAAC
rnacentral:lncRNA from 15 species